rnacentral:lncRNA from 1 species
GCCCUCUCUCUCAUUCAAUGCCAAUCUCCUCUUAUUUUAUGUGACAAAAGCCCUCUCCUAGGUCUCUCUCACAUUCACAAAAGGUCUCCUCUCUUCUUUCUUACAUGGAAGGUGGUUUGGAUCAAAUCAAAAAGGAAUAAGUUUGGAUUUCGAAUUCUAUGAGAUAGAGUUUUAGAAAUCCAAAACUCUUUCAAUUUUGCACCGAAUUUAUCCAAAUUUUUUUUAAAAUUUUUGUAACUUUUAGGGUAUACAUUGUGCACCCUUUUCU